rnacentral:sRNA from 1 species
CUUCUUCAAUUUGCUGAGGGCAAAUAAAAUGAAUGUGCGAAUCGAUGCCGCCAGCCGUCAAAAUGUUGCCCUCUCCGGCCAACACUUCGGUUCCUGGGCCAAUCACAAUGUCCACGCCUGGCUGUACAUCUGGGUUACCGGCUUUGCCCAGAGCUUGAAUACGACCAUUUUUGAUAGCGACAUCGGCUUUUACGAUGCCCCAAUAGUCCAAAACCACUGCGUUGGUGAUCACUAAAUCUGGUGUCUCUUGGCUCGGUCUUUGGCUCUGGCCCAUGCCAUCGCGGAU